GACGAAGGGGGCUAGCGUUGUUCGGACUUACUGGGCUUAAAGCGAGUGUAGGUGGUUGUCCAAGUUGGAUGUGAAAGCCUUGAGCUCAACUCAAGAAAUGCAUUCAGGACUGGGCGGCUAGAGGACCGGAGAGGAUAGUGGAAUUCCCAGUGUAGUGGUGAAAUACGUAGAGAUUGGAAAGAACACCAGUGGCGAAGGCGGCUAUCUGGACGGUUUCUGACACUAAGGCUCGAAAGCGUGGGGAGCAAACAGG
rnacentral:rRNA from 1 species